CAGAGGUUUUCUGUAACUCUGCCUGCAUCCAUCGCCCGUGCUUCUCCGGCAGCAGAGCUGGGGCCUGUGCCUGGCGGCUGGGAGCAGGAGGCAGGAGGCCGGGCCUGGCACCUGCAUCAGUGCCAGGGCCCCGCUGCCCUUCACAGCCAGCUCCACUUAGGCUGGGCAGAGACAGUCGGACAGUACCAAGUGGAAGUCCUCAAAGGAAUCUCAGGGAAAGCAAGAGGAAGUCUACGUCAACCCUCAAAGCUUGGCAGAAGCAAACACGACAGAGCAUGCAUUGAUUUCUUAGAGAAACAAAGAAGAAACCAGGCUGUUCACAGAAAAUCUCCCUCUUUGGUGGCUGGAUGUGACCGCGGGGAGGAAGGGGACGGCUGCUGUGACCAGGGGACUGCUGGCAGGGGGGCGGCCCUGUGCUGCUCAUCAGCUGUCCCCAGCUAGGAGGACCAGGAUCCGCCGUGGGAACCUCGUCCCCUUUGCCAGGACGGGAUGCUGGGGACAGGGGUGUCCCCUUUUGGGUGAUUCCUCCUGUGCUGUGUGCCCUAAGCUGCGGCUGUGUGCGCUGCUCGGUGCUCGCUAACUUUCUCUCAACAAGCACCUGGCUUCGGUGGUGAGGACAGCAAUUGCUGUGCAAACCCGUGAAGCAUCUGGAGGGGCUGUUUGGCUCGGAGCUUCUCCUGGCGCUGCAAAAAGUGGGGCAGCCUUCCUCUGCCUGUUAGAUUUUUUACAGUGAAUGGAUUUUGAAGACAAAAG
rnacentral:lncRNA from 1 species